rnacentral:rRNA from 1 species
UACGUAGGGUGCGAGCGUUGUCCGGAAUUAUUGGGCGUAAAGGGCUCGUAGGCGGUUUGUCGCGUCGGGAGUGAAAACUCAGGGCUUAACCCUGAGCCUGCUUCCGAUACGGGCAGACUAGAGUGAUGUAGGGGAGACUGGAAUUCCUGGUGUAGCGGUGAAAUGACGCAGAUAUCAGGAGGAACACCGAUGGCGAAGGCAGGUCUCUGGGCAUUAACUGACGCUGAGGAGCGAAAGCAUGGGGAGCGAACAGG